UACAGAGGUCCCAAGCGUUAUUCGGAUUCACUGGGCGUAAAGGGUGCGUAGGUGGCCAGGUAAGUUCGGUGUGAAAGCUCGGAGCUUAACUCCGAAAUGGCAUUGAAUACUAUCUGGCUAGAGGGUCGGAGGGGAGACUGGAAUUCUCGGUGUAGCAGUGAAAUGCGUAGAUAUCGAGAGGAACACCAGUGGCGAAGGCGAGUCUCUGGACGACUCCUGACACUGAGGCACGAAAGCCAGGGGAGCAAACAGG
rnacentral:rRNA from 1 species